rnacentral:rRNA from 1 species
UGGGGAAUAUUGCACAAUGGGCGCAAGCCUGAUGCAGCAAUGCCGCGUGUGUGAAGAAGGCCUGCGGGUUGUAAAGCACUUUUAUUGGGAAAGAAAAACCCGGAGAUAAUACCUCCGGCAUUGACGGUACCCAAAGAAUAAGCACCGGCUAACUCAGUGCCAGCAGCCGCGGUAAUACUGAGGGUGCGAGCGUUAAUCGGAAUUACUGGGCGUAAAGCGAGUGUAGGCGGUUACCUCAGUCGGAUGUGAAAGCCCCGGGCUUAACCUGGGAAUUGCAUUCGAUACUGGGUAACUAGAGUUUGGUAGAGGUGAGUGGAAUUCCGGGUGUAGCGGUGAAAUGCGUAGAUAUCCGGAGGAACAUCAGUGGCGAAGGCGGCUUACUGGACCAAAACUGACGCUGAGGCUCGAAAGCGUGGGUAGCAAACAGGAUUAGAUACCCUGGUAGUCCACGCCCUAAACUAUGUCAACUAGACGUUGGGCUCAUUAAUGAGCUUAGUGUCGUAGCUAACGCGUUAAGUUGACCGCCUGGGGAGUACGGCCGCAAGGUUA